GGUUAAGCGACUAAGCGUACACGGUGGAUGCCCUGGCAGUCAGAGGCGAUGAAGGACGUGCUAAUCUGCGAAAAGCGUCGGUAAGGUGAUAUGAACCGUUAUAACCGGCGAUGUCCGAAUGGGGAAACCCAGUGCAAUUCGUUGCACUAUCGUUAACUGAAUACAUAGGUUAACGAGGCGAACCGGGGGAACUGAAACAUCUAAGUACCCCGAGGAAAAGAAAUCAACCGAGAUUCCCCCAGUAGCGGCGAGCGAACGGGGAGCAGCCCAGAGUCUGAAUCAGCUUGUGUGUUAGUGGAACGGUCUGGAAAGUCCGACGGUACAGGGUGAUAGUCCCGUACACCAAAAUGCACAGGUUGUGAACUCGAAGAGUAGGGCGGGACACGUGGUAUCCUGUCUGAAUAUGGGGGGACCAUCCUCCAAGGCUAAAUACUCCUGACUGACCGAUAGUGAACCAGUACCGUGAGGGAAAGGCGAAAAGAACCCCGGCGAGGGGAGUGAAAAAGAACCUGAAACCGUGUACGUACAAGCAGUGGGAGCACCUUCGGGUGUGACUGCGUACCUUUUGUAUAAUGGGUCAGCGACUUAUAUUCUGUAGCAAGGUUAACCGUAUAGGGGAGCCGCAGGGAAACCGAGUCUUAACUGGGCGUUAAGUUGCAGGGUAUAGACCCGAAACCCGGUGAUCUAGCCAUGGGCAGGUUGAAGGUUGGGUAACACUAACUGGAGGACCGAACCGACUAAUGUUGAAAAAUUAGCGGAUGACUUGUGGCUGGGGGUGAAAGGCCAAUCAAACCGGGAGAUAGCUGGUUCUCCCCGAAAGCUAUUUAGGUAGCGCCUCGUGAAUUCAUCUUCGGGGGUAGAGCACUGUUUCGGCUAGGGGGUCAUCCCGACUUACCAACCCGAUGCAAACUACGAAUACCGAAGAAUGUUAUCACGGGAGACACACGGCGGGUGCUAACGUCCGUCGUGAAGAGGGAAACAACCCAGACCGCCAGCUAAGGUCCCAAAGUCAUGGUUAAGUGGGAAACGAUGUGGGAAGGCACAGACAGCCAGGAUGUUGGCUUAGAAGCAGCCAUCAUUUAAAGAAAGCGUAAUAGCUCACUGGUCGAGUCGGCCUGCGCGGAAGAUGUAACGGGGCUAAACCAUGCACCGAAGCUGCGGCAGCGACACUAUGUGUUGUUGGGUAGGGGAGCGUUCUGUAAGCCUGCGAAGGUGACCUGUGAGGGUUGCUGGAGGUAUCAGAAGUGCGAAUGCUGACAUAAGUAACGAUAAAGCGGGUGAAAAGCCCGCUCGCCGGAAGACCAAGGGUUCCUGUCCAACGUUAAUCGGGGCAGGGUGAGUCGACCCCUAAGGCGAGGCCGAAAGGCGUAGUCGAUGGGAAACAGGUUAAUAUUCCUGUACUUGGUGUUACUGCGAAGGGGGGACGGAGAAGGCUAUGUUAGCCGGGCGACGGUUGUCCCGGUUUAAGCAUGUAGGCUGGUUGUCCAGGCAAAUCCGGAUAAUCAAGGCUGAGGUGUGAUGACGAGGCACUACGGUGCUGAAGUAACAAAUGCCCUGCUUCCAGGAAAAGCCUCUAAGCAUCAGGUAACAUCAAAUCGUACCCCAAACCGACACAGGUGGUCAGGUAGAGAAUACCAAGGCGCUUGAGAGAACUCGGGUGAAGGAACUAGGCAAAAUGGUGCCGUAACUUCGGGAGAAGGCACGCUGGUGUGUAGGUGAAGUCCCUGCGGAUGGAGCUGAGACCAGUCGAAGAUACCAGCUGGCUGCAACUGUUUAUUAAAAACACAGCACUGUGCAAACACGAAAGUGGACGUAUACGGUGUGACGCCUGCCCGGUGCCGGAAGGUUAAUUGAUGGGGUUAUCCGUAAGGAGAAGCUCUUGAUCGAAGCCCCGGUAAACGGCGGCCGUAACUAUAACGGUCCUAAGGUAGCGAAAUUCCUUGUCGGGUAAGUUCCGACCUGCACGAAUGGCGUAAUGAUGGCCAGGCUGUCUCCACCCGAGACUCAGUGAAAUUGAACUCGCUGUGAAGAUGCAGUGUACCCGCGGCAAGACGGAAAGACCCCGUGAACCUUUACUAUAGCUUGACACUGAACAUUGAGCCUUGAUGUGUAGGAUAGGUGGGAGGCUUUGAAGCGUGGACGCCAGUCUGCGUGGAGCCAACCUUGAAAUACCACCCUUUAAUGUUUGAUGUUCUAACGUUGGCCCCUUAUCGGGGUUGCGGACAGUGUCUGGUGGGUAGUUUGACUGGGGCGGUCUCCUCCCAAAGCGUAACGGAGGAGCACGAAGGUUAGCUAAUCCUGGUCGGACAUCAGGAGGUUAGUGCAAUGGCAUAAGCUAGCUUGACUGCGAGCGUGACGGCGCGAGCAGGUGCGAAAGCAGGUCAUAGUGAUCCGGUGGUUCUGAAUGGAAGGGCCAUCGCUCAACGGAUAAAAGGUACUCCGGGGAUAACAGGCUGAUACCGCCCAAGAGUUCAUAUCGACGGCGGUGUUUGGCACCUCGAUGUCGGCUCAUCACAUCCUGGGGCUGAAGUAGGUCCCAAGGGUAUGGCUGUUCGCCAUUUAAAGUGGUACGCGAGCUGGGUUUAGAACGUCGUGAGACAGUUCGGUCCCUAUCUGCCGUGGGCGCUGGAGAAUUGAGGGGGGCUGCUCCUAGUACGAGAGGACCGGAGUGGACGCAUCACUGGUGUUCGGGUUGUCAUGCCAAUGGCACUGCCCGGUAGCUAAAUGCGGAAGAGAUAAGUGCUGAAAGCAUCUAAGCACGAAACUUGCCCCGAGAUGAGUUCUCCCUGAGACUUUAAGUCUCCUGAAGGAACGUUGAAGACGACGACGUUGAUAGGCCGGGUGUGUAAGCGCAGCGAUGCGUUGAGCUAACCGGUACUAAUGAACCGUGAGGCUUAACCUU
rnacentral:rRNA from 1 species